rnacentral:rRNA from 1 species
GCAGGCCUAACACAUGCAAGUCGUGGGGUAAUUUUGUAGCAAUACAAGAACGACCGGCGCACGGGUGAGUAACGCGUAUGCAACCUUCCUUUAACUGGGGCAUAGCCCGAAGAAAUUCGGAUUAAUAUCCCAUAAUAUUUUAAGAUCGCAUGAUUUUGAAGUCAAAGCUCCGGCGGUUAAAGAUGGGCAUGCGUGACAUUAGCUAGUUGGUGAGGUAACGGCUCACCAAGGCGACGAUGUCUAGGGGAUCUGAGAGGAUGGUCCCCCACACUGGUACUGAGAUACGGACCAGACUCCUACGGGAGGCAGCAGUGAGGAAUAUUGGGCAAUGGGCGCAAGCCUGACCCAGCCAUGCCGCGUGCAGGAUGAAGGCCCUAUGGGUCGUAAACUGCUUUUAUACAAGAAGAACCUUCGGGACGUGUCCUGAACUGACUGUACUGUAUGAAUAAGCAUCGGCUAACUCCGUGCCAGCAGCCGCGGUAAUACGGAGGAUGCAAGCGUUAUCCGGAUUUAUUGGGUUUAAAGGGUGCGUAGGUGGAAUGAUAAGUCAGUGGUGAAAUCCUGCGGCUUAACCGCAGAACUGCCAUUGAUACUGUCAUCCUUGAGUACAACUGAGGUAGGCGGAAUGUGUCAUGUAGCGGUGAAAUGCUUAGAGAUGACACAGAACACCGAUUGCGUAGGCAGCUUACUAAAUUGUAACUGACACUGAGGCACGAGAGCGUGGGGAUCAAACAGGAUUAGAUACCCUGGUAGUCCACGCUGUAAACUAUGAUUACUGGUUGUCGGCGAUAUACCGUUCGGCGACUAAGCAAAAGCAUUAAGUAAUCCACCUGGGGAGUACGACGGCAACGUUGAAACUCAAAGGAAUUGACGGGGGCCCGCACAAGCGGAGGAACAUGUGGUUUAAUUCGAUGAUACGCGAGGAACCUUACCUGGGCUCGAACGCAGGAGGAAUGUGGGGGAAACCUUACAGCUCUUCGGAGUCGCCUGCGAGGUGCUGCAUGGUUGUCGUCAGCUCGUGCCGUGAGGUGUCGGCUUAAGUGCCAUAACGAGCGCAACCCUUAUUGUUAGUUGCCAGCGGAUAAUGCCGGGGACUCUAACGAAACUGCCAGCGUAAGCUGUGAGGAAGGUGGGGAUGACGUCAAAUCAGCACGGCCCUUAUGUCCAGGGCUACACACGUGUUACAAUGGCCGCUACAAAGGGCAGCUACCUGGAGACAGGAUGCUAAUCUCUAAAAGCGGUCCCAGUUCGGAUCGAAGUCUGCAAUUCGACUUCGUGAAGUUGGAUUCGCUAGUAAUCGCGCAUCAGCCACGGCGCGGUGAAUACGC